UACGGAGGGGGCUAGCGUUGUUCGGAAUUACUGGGCGUAAAGCGCACGUAGGCGGCUUUGUAAGUUAGAGGUGAAAGCCCGGGGCUCAACUCCGGAAUUGCCUUUAAGACUGCAUCGCUAGAAUUGUGGAGAGGUAAGUGGAAUUCCGAGUGUAGAGGUGAAAUUCGUAGAUAGUUCGGAAGAACACCAGUGGCGAAGGCGACUUACUGGACACAUAUUGAC
rnacentral:rRNA from 1 species